CCCUUAGAUGUCCGGGGCCGCACGCGCGCUACACUGAAGGAAUCAGCGUGGCUUUCUCCCUGACCCGAAAGGGUUGGGAAACCCGUUGAAUCUCCUUCGUGAUAGGGAUUGGGGCUUGAAAUUGUUCCCCAUGAACGAGGAAUUCCCAGUAAGCGCGAGUCAUAAGGUCGCGUUGAUUACGUCCCUGCCCUUUGUACACACCGCCCGUCGCUACUACCGAUUGAACGGUUUAGUGAGGGCCUCGGAUUGGUCUCGGCCCGCUCUUUACCGGGCGGCGCCGUUGGUCGAGAAGACGCUCGAACUUGAUCGUUUAGAGGAAGUAAAAGUCGUAACA
rnacentral:rRNA from 1 species